AACGUACGCUGGCGGCACGCCUAACACAUGCAAGUCGAACGAAGUAGCAAUACUUAGUGGCAGACGGGUGAGUAACAUGUAGGUAUCUGCCCUUUGGCCUGGAAUAACACGAGGAAACUUGUGCUAAUACCGGAUAAGUCUUUACAGAGAAAGCUUUAUGCACCAUUGGAUGAGCCUGCACUUGAUUAGUUUGUUGGUGGGGUAAUGGCCUACCAAGACUGUGAUCAAUAGCUGAUUUGAGAGGAUGAUCAGCCACAUUGGGACUGAGACACGGCCCAAACUCCUACGGGAGGCAGCAGUGGGGAAUCUUGCACAAUGGAGGAAACUCUGAUGCAGCGAUGCCGCGUGAGUGAAGAAGGCCUUUGGGUUGUAAAGCUCUUUCGUCGGGGAAGAAAAUGACUGUACCCGAAUAAGAAGGUCCGGCUAACUUCGUGCCAGCAGCCGCGGUAAUACGAAGGGACCUAGCGUAGUUCGGAAUUACUGGGCUUAAAGAGUUCGUAGGUGGUUGAAAAAGUUGGUGGUGAAAUCCCAGAGCUUAACUCUGGAACUGCCAUCAAAACUUUUCAGCUAGAGUAUGAUAGAGGAAAGCAGAAUUUCUAGUGUAGAGGUGAAAUUCGUAGAUAUUAGAAAGAAUACCAAUUGCGAAGGCAGCUUUCUGGAUCAUUACUGACACUGAGGAACGAAAGCAUGGGUAGCGAAGAGGAUUAGAUACCCUCGUAGUCCAUGCCGUAAACGAUGUGUGUUAGACGUUGGAAAUUCAUUUUCAGUGUCGCAGCGAAAGCGAUAAACACACCGCCUGGGGAGUACGACCGCAAGGUUAAAACUCAAAUGAAUUGACGGGGACCCGCACAAGUAGUGGAGCAUGUGGUUUAAUUCGAAGAUACGCGCAGAACCUUACCAACACUUGACAUGUUCGUCGCGACUUUAAGAGAUUAAAGUUUUCGGUUCGGCCGGACGAAACACAGGUGCUGCAUGGCUGUCGUCAGCUCGUGUCGUGAGAUGUUGGGUUAAGUCCCGCAACGAGCGCAACCCUCACUUUUAGUUGCCAUCAUUAAGUUGGGCACUCUGAAAGAACUGCCAGUGAUAAGCUGGAGGAAGGUGGGGAUGACGUCAAGUCCUCAUGGCCCUUACGUGUUGGGCUACACACGUGCUACAAUGGUAUCUACAACAGGAAGCAAGACGGCGACGUUAAGCAAAUCCUUAAAAGAUACCUCAGUUCGGAUUGCACUCUGCAACUCGAGUGCAUGAAGCUGGAAUUACUAGUAAUCGUGGAUCAGCGUGCCACGGUGAAUGCGUUCCCGGGUCUUGUACACACCGCCCGUCACACCAUGGGAGUUGGUUCUACCUUAAGGCAAGGUUUAAAACCCUUGACCACGGUAUAGUCAGCGACUGGGGUG
rnacentral:rRNA from 1 species